AGUGAACGCUGGCGGUAGGCCUAACACAUGCAAGUCGAACGGCAGCACAGUAAGAGCUUGCUCUUACGGGUGGCGAGUGGCGGACGGGUGAGGAAUACAUCGGAAUCUACUUUUUCGUGGGGGAUAACGUAGGGAAACUUACGCUAAUACCGCAAACGACCUACGGGUGAAAGCAGGGGAUCUUCGGACCUUGCGCGAUUGAAUGAGCCGAUGUCGGAUUAGCUAGUUGGCGGGGUAAAGGCCCACCAAGGCGACGAUCCGUAGCUGGUCUGAGAGGAUGAUCAGCCACACUGGUACUGAGACACGGUCCAGACUCCUACGGGAGGCAGCAGUGGGGAAUAUUGGACAAUGGGCGCAAGCCUGAUCCAGCCAUACCGCGUGGGUGAAGAAGGCCUUCGGGUUGUAAAGCCCUUUUGUUGGGAAAGAAAAGCAGCAGGUUAAUACCCCGCUGUUCUGACGGUACCCAAAGAAUAAGCACCGGCUAACUUCGUG
rnacentral:rRNA from 1 species